rnacentral:sRNA from 1 species
AAAUUGAAUAUGCUACCGUAGACAGUAGGUGCUUUAAUUAGCUUAAUUUCCUACCGAGGUUUUUGAUAUAGUGAUAUCCGUAUGGAUUUCGAUACAUCAUGCCUUCGUGUUGUCUGCGAAGGCUUUUCUAUUUG